UACGUAGGGGGCAAGCGUUGUCCGGAUUUAUUGGGCGGAAAGAGCGUGUAGGCGGUUAGGUAGGUCCGUUGUGAAAACUCGAGGCUCAACCUCGAGACGCCGAUGGAAACCAUCUGACUAGAGUCCGGAAGAGGAGAGUGGAAUUCCUGGUGUAGCGGUGAAAUGCGCAGAUAUCAGGAAGAACACCCGUGGCUAAGGCGGCUCUCUAGUACGGUACUGACGCUGAGACGUGAAAGCGUGGGGAGCGAACAGG
rnacentral:rRNA from 1 species